rnacentral:rRNA from 1 species
AACGAACGCUGGCGGCAGGCUUAACACAUGCAAGUCGAGCGCAUCCUUCGGGGUGAGCGGCGGACGGGUGAGUAACGCGUGGGAACGUGCCCUCUUCUACGGAAUAGCCUCGGGAAACUGAGAGUAAUGCCGUAUACGCCCGCAAGGGGAAAGAUUUAUCGGAGGAGGAUCGGCCCGCGUUGGAUUAGGUAGUUGGUGGGGUAACGGCCUACCAAGCCGACGAUCCAUAGCUGGUUUGAGAGGAUGAUCAGCCACACUGGGACUGAGACACGGCCCAGACUCCUACGGGAGGCAGCAGUGGGGAAUCUUGGACAAUGGGGGCAAACCUGAUCCAGCCAUGCCGCGUGAGCGAUGAAGGCCUUAGGGUUGUAAAGAUCUUUCAGCUGGGAAGAUAAUGACGGUACCAGCAGAAGAAGCCCCGGCUAACUCCGUG